rnacentral:rRNA from 1 species
AUUGAACGCUGGCGGCAGGCCUAACACAUGCAAGUCGAGCGGGGUUUUCGGACCUAGCGGCGGACGGGUGAGUAAUGCGUAGGAAGCUACCCGAUAGAGGGGGAUACCAGUUGGAAACGACUGUUAAUACCGCAUAAUGUCUACGGACCAAAGUGUGGGACCUUCGGGCCACAUGCUAUCGGAUGCGCCUACGUGGGAUUAGCUAGUUGGUGAGGUAAUGGCUCACCAAGGCGACGAUCCCUAGCUGGUUUGAGAGGAUGAUCAGCCACACUGGAACUGAGACACGGGCCAGACUCCUACGGGAGGCAGCAGUGGGGAAUAUUGGACAAUGGGCGCAAGCCUGAUCCAGCCAUGCCGCGUGUGUGAAGAAGGCCUUCGGGUUGUAAAGCACUUUCAGUUGGGAGGAAGGGUUGUGUGUUAAUAGUACACAGCCUUGACGUUACCAACAGAAGAAGCACCGGCUAACUCUGUGCCAGCCGCCGCAGUAAUAC